rnacentral:rRNA from 1 species
AGAAUCAACGCUGGCGGCGCGCCUAACACAUGCAAGUCGCACGAGAAAGGGGAGCAAUCCCUGAGUACAGUGGCGCACGGGUGAGUAACACGUGAAUCAUCUACCUCCGAGUGGGGAAUAACUGAGAGAAAUCUUAGCUAAUACCGCAUAAUACCCACGGGUCAAAGCAGCAAUGCGCUUGGAGAGGAGUUCGCGGCAGAUUAGUUAGUUGGCGGGGUAAUGGCCCACCAAGACGAUGAUCUGUAUCCGGCCUGAGAGGGCGCACGGACACACUGGAACUGAAACACGGUCCAGACUCCUACGGAGGCAGCAGUGGGGAAUUUUGCGCAAUGGGGGAAACCCUGACGCAGCAACGCCGCGUGGAGGAUGAAGCCCCUUGGGGUGUAAACUCCUUUCGAUCGGGAAGAUAAUGACGGUACCGAUAUAAGAAGCCCCGGCUAACUUCGUGCCAGCAGCCGC